rnacentral:rRNA from 1 species
UAGGGAAUCUUCCGCAAUGGACGCAAGUCUGACGGAGCAACGCCGCGUGAGUGAAGAAGGAUUUCGGUUCGUAAAACUCUGUUGUUAGAGAAGAACAGCGUAUAGAGUAACUGUUAUGCGUGUCACGGUAUCUAACCAGAAAGCCACGGCUAACUACGUGCCAGCAGCCGCGGUAAUACGUAGGUCCCGAGCGUUGUCCGGAUUUAUUGGGCGUAAAGCGAGCGCAGGCGGUUAGAUAAGUCUGAAGUUAAAGGCAGUGGCUCAACCAUUGUAGGCUUUGGAAACUGUUUAACUUGAGUGCAGAAGGGGAGAGUGGAAUUCCAUGUGUAGCGGUGAAAUGCGUAGAUAUAUGGAGGAACACCGGUGGCGAAAGCGGCUCUCUGGUCUGUAACUGACGCUGAGGCUCGAAAGCGUGGGGAGCGAACAGG